rnacentral:rRNA from 1 species
CAAUAGCGUAUAUUAAAGUUGUUGCGGUUAAAAAGCUCGUAGUUGGAUUUCUGCUGAAGGCAGCCGGUCCAUGUUCGACAUGCGCAUCUGGAUUGACUUCGGCAUCCUCUCAGAUAACGAUUCUGUGCUUGAUUGCAUGGAGCGGAGUUUGAGACUUUUACUUUGAGGAAAAUAGAGUGUUCACGGCAGGCAAUCGCCCUGAAUAUAUUAGCAUGGAAUAAUAAAAUAGGAUCUUGGUUCUAUUUUGUUGGUUUCUAGAACGAAGAUAAUGAUUAAUAGGGACAAUUGGGGGCAUUCGUAUUAACGCGUCAGAGGUGGAAUUCUUGGAUUGCGUUACGACGAACUACUGCGAAANCANNNGCCAAGGAUGUUUUCAUNGA